rnacentral:tRNA from 1 species
GGGAAAUUGGUGGAAUGGCAGACACGGUUGACUUAAAAUCAACUGCUCUCGGGCAUGAGGGUUCGAAUCCCUCAUUUCCCA